UACGUAGGGUGCAGGCGUUAAUCGGAAUUACUGGGCGUAAAGCGUGCGCAGGCGGUCUUUUAAGUCAGAUGUGAAAUCCCCGGGCUUAACCUGGGAACUGCGUUUGAAACUGGAAGGCUAGAGUGUGGUAGAGGCAGGUGGAAUUCCGGGUGUAGCGGUGAAAUGCGUAGAUAUCAGGAGGAACACCGAUGGCGAAGGCAGGUCUCUGGGCUGACACUGACGCUCAUGCACGAAAGCGUGGGGAGCAACAGGAU
rnacentral:rRNA from 1 species